rnacentral:rRNA from 1 species
GAUGAACGCUAGCUACAGGCUUAACACAUGCAAGUCGAGGGGAAACGACAUCGAAAGCUUGCUUUUGAUGGGCGUCGACCGGCGCACGGGUGAGUAACGCGUAUCCAACCUGCCCAUCACUUGGGAAUAACCUUGCGAAAGUAAGACUAAUACCCAAUGACAUCCCACGAAGACAUCUGAAUGGGAUUAAAGAUUUAUCGGUGAUGGAUGGGGAUGCGUCUGAUUAGCUUGUUGGCGGGGUAACGGCCCACCAAGGCAACGAUCAGUAGGGGUUCUGAGAGGAAGGUCCCCCACAUUGGAACUGAGACACGGUCCAAACUCCUACGGGAGGCAGCAGUGAGGAAUAUUGGUCAAUGGGCGAGAGCCUGAACCAGCCAAGUAGCGUGCAGGAUGACGGCCCUAUGGGUUGUAAACUGCUUUUAUAAGGGAAUAAAGUGGGUCUCGUGAGACUUUUUGCAUGUACCUUAUGAAUAAGGACCGGCUAAGUCCGUG